CUACGAAGGUCCCAAGCGUUAUUCGGAAUCACUGGGCGUAAAGAGUACGUAGGCGGUUUGGUAAGUCAGGUGUGAAAUCCCGGAGCUCAACUCCGGAACUGCAUCCGAUACUGCCAGACUUGAGUAAUGGAGAGGCAGGUGGAAUUCUCGGUGUAGCAGUGAAAUGCGUGGAUAUCGAGAGGAAGACCAAUGGCGAAGGCAGCCUGCUGGACAUUUACUGACGCUGAGGUACGAAGGCUAGGGGAGCGAAAGGGAUUAGAUACCCGAGUAGUCC
rnacentral:rRNA from 1 species